rnacentral:rRNA from 1 species
UUCCAGACUCCUACGGGAGGCAGCAGUGGGGGAUAUUGCACAAUGGGGGAAACCCUGAUGCAGCGACGCCGCGUGUGGGAAGACGGUCCUCUGGAUUGUAAACCACUGUCCCCAGGGACGAAGAUGACGGUACCUGGGGAGGAAGCUCCGGCUAACUACGUGCCAGCAGCCGCGGUAAUACGUAGGGAGCGAGCGUUGUCCGGAAUUACUGGGUGUAAAGGGUGCGUAGACGGGAAAGCAAGUUAGUUGUGAAAUCCCGCGGCUUAACUGAGGAACUGCAACUAAAACUACUUUUCUUGAGUGCAGGAGAGGUAAGUGGAAUUCCUAGUGUAGCGGUGAAAUGCGUAGAUAUUAGGAGGAACACCAGUGGCGAAGGCGACUUACUGGACUGUAACUGACGUUGAGGCACGAAAGUGUGGGGAGCAAACAGGAUUAGAUCCCCCGGUA